UGCCAAUUCGAGAUAGAAAAAGAUUUACCCC
rnacentral:piRNA from 1 species